rnacentral:lncRNA from 1 species
UAGGAGUGACCCCCGGGGCCACUUGAGUUAUAUGAGCGUUGUCUUCAUAGCACAUCAGGAGUGUGACUGUACCCUUCCCCAGGCAGUAGGUACUAGCUGUGAACCCUGGACACUUAGACUCUGAAUCUGUGGCAUCUGUUUUUUAAGGCUUGUUUAUUUGUCUUUAAGGUCUUAUGGUCUGAUUCUUCAGUAACUUCAGUAACUAAGUCUUCUUCAGAAGUGACAGAAUUUAUUUCAAAGUUAUCCCAACUCUGCCCUGAAGAGAACUUGGACAAACUCAUUCCUUGCUUGGCUGGCCCAGAUUCCUUCUAUGUGGAGCGCAACCACGUUGAUUUGGAAGCAGGCCUAAGGUUCUUGGCUUCAAUCCCGGCCCACACACUGAAGCACGACCACGUCAGGAAGUUCUUCAGUGCUUCAUCUCCCUCCC